rnacentral:rRNA from 1 species
AGAGUUUGAUUCCGGCUCAGGACGAACGCUGGCGGCGUGCCUAAUACAUGCAAGUCGAGCGAACUUUUGGGAGCUUGCUCCCAAUUUUUAGCGGCGGACGGGUGAGUAACACGUGGGCAACCUGCCUAUAAGACUGGGAUAACUUCGGGAAACCGGAGCUNAUACCGGAUAAUUCUUUUCCUCUCNUGAUGAAAANCUGAAAGGCGGCUUCGGCUGUCACUUAUAGAUGGGCCCGCUGCNCAUUAUCUAGUUGGUGAGGUAACGGCUCACCAAGGCUACGAUGCGUAUCCGACCUGAGAUGGUGAUCGGCCACAUUGGGACUGAGACACUGCCCA